UCCUACGGGGGGCAGCAGUGAGGAAUAUUGGACAAUGGGCGCAAGCCUGAUCCAGCCAUGCCGCGUGCAGGAAGACGGUCCUAUGGAUUGUAAACUGCUUUUGUACAGGAAGAAACACUCCCUCGUGAGGGAGCUUGACGGUACUGUAAGAAUAAGGAUCGGCUAACUCCGUGCCAGCAGCCGCGGUAAUACGGAGGAUCCAAGCGUUAUCCGGAAUCAUUGGGUUUAAAGGGUCCGUAGGCGGUUUAAUAAGUCAGUGGUGAAAUCUGGUCGCUCAACGAUCAAACGGCCAUUGAUACUGUUAGACUUGAAUUAUUUGGAAGUAACUAGAAUAUGUAGUGUAGCGGUGAAAUGCUUAGAUAUUACAUGGAAUACCAAUUGCGAAGGCAGGUUACUACAAGUGGAUUGACGCUGAUGGACGAAAGCGUGGGGAGCGAACAGGAUUAGAUACCCUGGU
rnacentral:rRNA from 1 species